rnacentral:rRNA from 1 species
CACGUAGUUAGCCGGGGCUUCUUACUCAGGUACCGUCAUUUUCUUCCCUGCUGAUAGAGCUUUACGUAACGAAUUACUUCUUCACUCACGCGGCGUCGCUGCAUCAGGGUUCCCCCCAUUGUGCAAUAUUCCCCACUGCUGCCUCCCGUAGGAGUCUGGGCCGUGUCUCAGUCCCAAUGUGGCCGUCCGCCCUCUCAGGCCGGCUACUGAUCGUCGCCUUGGUGGGCCCGUUACCCCGCCAACAAGCUAAUCAGACGCGGGUCCAUCUUACACCACCGGAGUUUUUCACACCGCUUCAUGCGAAGCUGUGCGCUUAUGCGGUUUUAGCACCUAUUUCUAAGUGUUAUCCCCCUGUGUAAGGCAGGUUGCCCACGCGUUACUCACCCGUCCGCCACUAACCCAUAUAUCACUAGGUUUCAAUAUGGGUCCGUUCGACUUGCAUGUGUUAAGCAGCCGCCAGCGUUCAUCCUGAGCCAGGAUCAAACUACU